rnacentral:lncRNA from 1 species
CAAAGACCCAGCACAGCCAAAAAUAAAAUAAAAAAUUAAAAUAAAAAAAGCUAAUAAAGACUGUCUUGAAACAUAUAUAUGCAUGGAAAGAUUUUUUGAAAAGCGUUGAUUAGUCCUCACGGUAGUUAUUUCUAGACAGUGGGAACUUGCUAUUACAUUUUUUUGGCUUUGCAUUUCUCUCACUUGUAUUUUUAAAGCCAAUCUGAAGUUAUGAAAAUAAGUUUUUUUGUAUACAAUGCUUUAUUUUUUAAUUUGUCGAUGUGAAUAGCAUAAAAAUAUCACUACUCAUUUUCCUAUGUUAUUCUCAGAACAUAGCAAACUUCAUUCUGAGACAGCUUUUAAUACUGAUUUAUAGUAAAGCAAUAACAAAUAGAAUGAACCAAAAUUCUUUAUUUUGUGUGUGUGUGUGUUUUCCAUAUUUAUGCCCAUGUUAUUCUCUGAGCAAGAAAAAAGGUAAAGUGAUGCUUUAUAAUAUAUUUUCACCUUGGAAAAAAACCUUUCCAGGAUAUUGAACUCCCCAAACAGGCCAAAAUCGGGCGUUAGGGACUCAUUCCGGACUUUGGACCAACCUUAGAGGGCACACAUGAAACAUGCUCAUUUCUUUCCCUUUUUUCUUUUGAUGAUCUGAAAUACUUAAAACACCCUUUUGCUUAUCUUUCACCGGAGGGAUUUGUGGAAAAUCUCUACUGGUGCCAACAAUAUGGUCCCCAAAUUAGGCUUAAAAGGUUUGGGGUUUUCUUUAAUUCUGAACUAAGAAGGGUUUUUCAUGGUUGCUGAUGCAUCUUCGGGCACGUGGUUUCUUCACACGCUGAGUGGCUUGUGUGUCUGUCUCCCUGCCUGUGCGUCUGCGUGUGUUUAUGAGUGCAAGUCUUUGUAAAGUGCGUUGGGGUGUGUGACGGUGGUUUUGAGCCCAUGGCUUACGCACUCUACGAAGAAGCGUGUGCACCCCUGUAGGUGGGAGCAGGUUUCUCCAGUCUCGGGGUCGCGUGGGGAAACCCUCCACCAAGUCCUGCGGCUCCCAGUCCUGGCCAGGGCGCGGCAGGGAGGGCGCUGGGGGCAACCAGGUGGCCAAGCAACAGAGGAACCAGGGCAGCCUGCAUCCGGGCAGGGUCCCGGACACGUGCUCUGCUGGAAAGAGGGACGCACUUUCCGCCCUCUGGAACGCCUCGGGGGCCAGGAAACUGAGACUGGAGGCGGCACGCGCGUCAGGGGCGCCCUGACGCCCAGGUACGUGCGACCCCCGCCCCCCUC